GUAAAACCCAGUUCAUCGCUUCAGUUUCUUCGUUUAGGUUUCAGUUCACCUUAAGAAAAACAAAAACCCUAAACGCAGAGUUCAUCCUCAAAAUCGCUUCAGAUUCAACGCAGAGUUCAUCCUCAAACGCAGUUGAAUGUGACCGGAGCCGUAACGACGUGACCGGGGUUCAGUUUCUUCCAAUCAGCUCACCAGACCCUUCGUUACGGCAUUGGCUAAUAUGCAUAAGGAUUUUCCUUAUGCACCAUGCAUAAGUCAAUCUAAGCCAUUGGAUCAUGUUUUUAAUCCAAUAUUAAGUAUUGAGUAUUAAGUAUUGAGUGGUGAGUAUUGAGUUUUGAGUAGUGAGUGUUAAGUAUUGAGUAAUAACAAUUGAUCUUUAGAAUUUGAUCUAAUGAUCCAAGGGUCCAUAAUAAUCUAUGCACGGUGCAUAGAUUUUUAUCUAUGCACGGUAACUGCACCCCUUCGUUACCUUUCUCUUUUCUCAGGUAAUUACAUUUCUUCUCUCCCUUAAUUCUUUGUUUCAAUUAGUUCGGUUUUGAUCUGUUGUUUCAAUAAGUUGUCUCAAUUUGAUUCUUCUCAAGGUUUCAAUUUAUUGUUUUGUUUAGUUUCAAAGUAAAAUCUUGUUCACUUCUAUUGCUGCAACUCAACACUAGUAUACAAAAUGUUAACAACUUUUGCGAACUGAUAUGACAGACACCAGAAAACAAUGCUAUUAGUAUAUGAUUUGUGUAUGUUUUUUUAGUAUUUAUCAUGUGUACUUGCUUCACUGACUUAAACUGAGAGGAAACAAAGAUAUUUAUAUGAAAAAAAACCUGAGAGACAAGUUUGAAUCACACUCAUGAUAGAUAUAUUUGGAUUGAAUCACACUCAUAUUCAUAUACUAUGAGUAUUUAUAAGGAAACAUAGAAACUGAAGAAAACUGAAAGAGAGUAGAAUCAAUUUCUGUUUUGGAAUAGUUUCAAGUGAUAAAGUCUGUUACCAUACUCAACCGAAUGAGUAUUUAUAACUCUAUUACAUAAUCAGACAUCCGUUUAAUUAGCAAUUGAUCUAUUACAGAGUACAGACAUCAGGUUAUUUGUUAAUUAGGUGAGUUUGUUAUGGUCGUACCAAAAGAUGAUACCAAUGAAUUCUCGUCUUGAUCUAUUUAUUUAGUUGUAGGUUUAAUUUAUUUUGCAUUACAACAAUACUUUUGUUUUUUUAGGAAGCAUUACAGCAAUAUUUUUAUGACAUAAGCAAGUUGGUUUUCAAACUUUAUUUACUGACAUCCUCUAAAACACAUUAUGCAUGUUUGUAAAACUGAUGUUGAUUGUGUGUGCCUGAUAUCGAUUUGAUUACUUACUAUCAUUAGCAAUGAUUCUAUUGAUGUGUGUUUUGAAAUAUAAGUGGAAAAGACCAUCAAUUAAGGAUCAGCGCAUCACAAUAAUUGUUAUUAUGGGACUAAAGGAUCUGUCUGGGUAGUUGUAAUUCAUUUUAUUUCUAACUGGAUAGUUGUACGUCCAAAAGAAUUCAUUAGUAUUUUAAUGUACUUGUGAUUCAAAGUCUUUGGUUAUAGGCAGUUGCAUUAUGGAGACCUUUCAGUUAACCAGUAUUUCAAUGUUAUGGGAAGGGGUAUUUGAUUUUGAGGGAAAAUAAGGUGGUUAUAAGUGUUAUUGUUUUAAUUCCUUUAUUAAAUAAAAUCAUACUUUCUUUUUCAUUUACUAUUCUAAACAUUUGUGGUUGCAAGCACAAACCAUCGAUCUCAUCAUGUUCUGUUCCACUUAAACCAGAGCACUCUCUAGUUUACACAAGUUUAAUAAAAUGAACUCCUAACAUCUCUUAGAUGAGGUCAUCCCUAUCCUAACAAACAGAAGUAUAUUCUGUACCAGUUUCGUGAUUUUUCUGUCUUAUCUUUCCUAUACAAUUCUUGGUUGUUAUCUAAUAAGUUGGAAUUGAAUUGUGCAUGAAAAAAUGACUUGAAUGGUAUGCGUAUGACUUGUUCGAGGUAUCAAUUUUAUCUGGACAUGGCUUGAUAAUUUAUGUUUGUUUGGGGCUGUUUUGGAAGCUCCAUGCUUUGUAUUUGUUAAUGCUGAACUGAUGCUGGCUCAUGGGGCUGUUUUGAUUUGAUUACUAUUUUUUACUUAUUACAAUUCUUGUUUUAGUAUUUGGAACUCUUGUUUAUGAACUUAGAUUAUGGGGCUGUUUUGAGUUGAUUACUAUUUUGAACUUAUUACAAUCCAGGAUGAGAGGACAAUAGUUCCCUCAAGAUAGGUUUGAAAUCAUCCUACAUCAAAAAUAGAAAACAAACACAUUUCAGAUUUUAAUUCUAUUAUAUAUAGCACUUUAGUAAGCCCUUAGUAAUUAAGACCGAGACUUGAGAGUGAAACAGCAAAGUACUUUAGGAGUAAGCGCAAGACAACUUAUAAAACAAAGCAAACCUGUACAAGGUAUGUUUGAUGUGGCUGCUUCAGUAAAGUGUAUAUUUGUGUCGGUAAAUCUUUAGCUAACAUGUUGCCUCGAAACCAAUAGUCAAUAAAUUGAUCCCUAAAAUAUGUGAUAUGGAAAGGGCAUCAGUACAACAGGACCAAAUGUUGUACACAAAUAACUUUAUAGUAAAUUAUAAUAUCUUAUCUGUUAACCUUCUAGUUCUCUACAAAAGCCACACAAAGACGUUUUGCACAUACAAUAAAAUUAUGAUUAAAAAACGAAGUGGAAAACAUAGGGUGGUAUUAUCUUCAACUAAUUUUGAAAAUGACUGAACAAUUCAUCUAAAACGAACAACAGUUGGUGAUACUUUCCUGCUUGUUCUGUCAGUGGAAACACACAAGUAAAGCAACAUCUAUAAGUUGUUUCUUAUCUAUCCAUAUAUUACAGUACUGGAUUAAUCGCUACCUCUGCCCUGUUAUACAAAACCCUUUCUAGAAGCUCGUUUGUCUCCAUUUAUAAGCCCCCCUUCAAUUUCUCUCUUGCAUUAAUUUUUUUGUAUUGUAAUACCCUUGAUUACUUUAAAACCUCUAUCUUGUAAGGACUGAGGGAAAUGCAGUGCGAUGAGUCCCAUUAUGUAUUAUGUAGGUGAACAGUUAGAUGUAAAGAAUGAGAUGAUACAAGUCCCAAUAAACUUAAGGGAAAUUAUGAAAAAGUUUUAUAAAUUGUUAACAUUUAAUAUCGAUAGCUAAUUUAACCAACGUUCUUAGUCAUUGUGAAUAAGUUAAAGGGGUCUUAUAUAUAGUGACGAAGGUAGUAAAUAAUAACCAAUAACACAUCUGGUUAAAUAAAUAAUGAUUUUGUUAUACGCUUAUGCUAAAAUUGAUUUUGUUUAUACACCACACUUACACACAUUUUUUGUCAUUAAUGUAUUACAAGUGACAUCUAAAAACUUGAUGCAUGGUAUAUUAUGUGUGCAUCAUAUAUCACUUGUCAAAAAUUAAUAUUGACUGUAAAGAUAAUGCUAAUAAAAACUAAAUCAGAUAACCUAUUCAUUAGGGUGAUUUUGAAUAAUAAAUUAUAUGAACUUAUUAUGAUAUUAAUAAUAUAUUUUUAUGUUAACACACAUAUGUGUGAGUAAGUAUAAUUUUGCAUUUUAAGUAGGACCUUUCAAUCCAUGCUAAGAUCAUCGAAUAUUGAGUUUCACAACAAUGCCUCCACCUCUCUUAGUUAUAGUCCUACAGGGGGUUUCCCAGUUGUGCACUAAGAACUUCUACUAACUUUAGUUGUGGAAAUUUAAAAUUCAUCUCAAUAUUGAAUUCAAACAAGUGAAAGCAAUUAAGAGAGUCCUCCAAAAGAAUUAGCUAUGACUGGUGGUGAAAAUUCAUCUCAAUAUGGUGUGAUCAUGUUGUUAGAAUGACAACAUAAUCUCCAAGACUCUGGGUUGAAAAUAUUUGUAUUAGUGAUUUGGAAAUCACUAUGACUGGUGGUUGAAUCUUUUUUAAUUCUGUUUUACGGCUUUUUUUUAUAACGAGUCACAUGACUUUUUUAAUUUUGUUGUAUUAUACAAAUUGCAUUUUUUGAAAAGAAUCCCUAAAUUGGAGUUUCGAUUUCUUCCGUCUGAAUCGACAAGGACUUCAUCAUCGUCACGCUUUAUAGUUAGCUUCUAUUCAAAUGACUGGACAAAACGGAAAGAGAAAAGCACCAUCGAGCACGACUAAGUAAGAUGGCUUUAUCUUUUCACUAGUUGGUUUCUUUGCUAUUUAAUAUUUUUUGGUGCAUUUUUGCUAAUGUUAUUCAUAAUGUUACUUGUGUACAAAAGUUUUGUUGACAGGUUAUGCCGUCAACAACAAAUUCCACCUGGAAGUAUUGCUAUAAAGAAUUCUUGCAUGGUCCAUAUGAAACCUGGUUCAAAGAACCCACCACCACCACCACCACCACCUACUCAGAGAAAACAUCCACCACCGAUUCAGACAACUAAAACACCACCACCGAUUCAGACAAAUCCAACACCACCACCUUGGCAGCCUCCAUCAAAGACCUUGAAAACCCCAACACCGUCUCCUUCCCACCCUACUUCAAAGACUCAGAAAAACCCACCACCACCACCAAUUCAGACAACCCCAACACCCUCUCCUUCCCAUCCUACUUCAACGAAUCAGACAAACCCAACACCACCACCAAUUCAGACAAACCCAACACCGCCACCUACUGAUCAGCCUCAACCAUCAAUCCCGACUUCUGAGGAAUUCAGAUUCAUUCCUACCCCGGGAUAUACUCAUCGUGUUUUACAAAGUCCUCCCCGUCACUCCAGAGAAGAGGGCAUUCAAGAAGAGGGGGACCAAGCAAUUUCUAAUGAGGAACAAGAAGAACAAGUUGAUGGGCAAAGACCGAAGAUCUAUAUUGUGGAAGAUA